AUUGAACGCUGGCGGCAUGCUUUACACAUGCAAGUCGAACGGUAACAGGGUGCUUGCACCGCUGACGAGUGGCGAACGGGUGAGUAAUGCAUCGGAACGUACCCAGUCGUGGGGGAUGACGUAGCGAAAGUUACGCUAAUACCGCAUACGUCCUGAGGGAGAAAGCGGGGGACCGUAAGGCCUCGCGCGAUUGGAGCGGCCGAUGUCGGAUUAGCUAGUUGGUAGGGUAAAGGCCUACCAAGGCGACGAUCUGUAGCGGGUCUGAGAGGAUGAUCCGCCACACUGGGACUGAGACACGGCCCAGACUCCUACGGGAGGCAGCAGUGGGGAAUUUUGGACAAUGGGGGCAACCCUGAUCCAGCCAUGCCGCGUGAGUGAAGAAGGCCUUCGGGUUGUAAAGCUCUUUCGGCCGGGAAGAAAUCGCACAGGCUAAUACCUUGUGUGGAUGACGGUACCGGAAUAAGAAGCACCGGCUAACUACGUGCCAGCCGCCGCGGUAAAAC
rnacentral:rRNA from 1 species